rnacentral:rRNA from 1 species
GACGAACGCUGGCGGCGUGCUUAACACAUGCAAGUCGAACGGAAAGGCCCUGCUUUUGUGGGGUGCUCGAGUGGCGAACGGGUGAGUAACACGUGAGUAACCUGCCCUUGACUUUGGGAUAACUUCAGGAAACUGGGGCUAAUACCGGAUAGGAGCUCCUGCUGCAUGGUGGGGGUUGGAAAGUUUCGGCGGUUGGGGAUGGACUCGCGGCUUAUCAGCUUGUUGGUGGGGUAGUGGCUUACCAAGGCUUUGACGGGUAGCCGGCCUGAGAGGGUGACCGGCCACAUUGGGACUGAGAUACGGCCCAGGCUCCUACGGGAGGCAGCAGUGGGGAAUAUUGCACAAUGGGCGGAAGCCUGAUGCAGCAACGCCGCGUGCGGGAUGACGGCCUUCGGGUUGUAAACCGCUUUCGCCUGCGACGAAGCGUGAGUGACGGUAAUGGGUAAAGAAGCACCGGCUAACUACGUG